CUAAGAAGUAACUGGGGGAGGAAGCAGCAGAGGAGAGGGAAAACAGUGGCUGAAGCCAGCCUGGGGGCCAGCGAAUCCUCAGGGAUCUGGGCACCAAGGCUCCCCACGCCCCACCUGCAGAAAGCUGAGUUUCGCCAAGGCAAAGAGCAUGCCAGAAGACGAACCCCCGGCUCCACCUCCUCCUCCCUGAGCCUGCAGAGAGGGGUCUGCGCCUCCAUGACUGUACAGCCUGCCUGGAGUUUGUCUCAGCGCUGAUGAGAAGCUGGAGCAGUGGGAAGGGAAGCGAAGUGGCCUGGCCCAGCCCGGGUUUGGUAGGGCAGAGAAAGGUGCCGUGGGAAGAUAAUGGGAGAGAACCACGGCUGGUACUGGCUACCAGGGAAAGGUACGGACUGACUCAGAGCACCGGGUGCUGACUGAGAACUCCUGGGGCUCCAGAUCACAGCAACCCAAGGGACUAGGGAGGGGGCCCCCAGCUGGGCAGAGACAGACACGCAGCCAUGGCUAUAUCAUGAACUGUUACACGUGGGCUUUGGUUGCUUUUAUUAAAAGAAAAGAGGAAUCAUCCUGCCCACUUUGUGGCUGUACCGCUACAGACUGCACCGUGCCAGGAGCCAUCGCACAGAGAGCCUGGGUUCCAGAAUAAGAGACUGGUGUAAGUAACCAAAGUGUGGAAGAUUUUGCACACCGGUUUGGAAUAUGCUUUGUGGGAGUUGUGUGGCCUGGCAAGCAAAGGACCGGGAGCCAGCAAUUUCUAACCUGUAACCUCAGCUGUGUCACCAAAAGCACUCAGAGGCCUUGCAAACUGGCUAAGUAUCCACACGUCACCUCACUGGGGUGUCAUGAGGACUAGCUCACAUUUGUGAAGGGUGCGGAUGAAAAGCACUAAGCAAGCCUGUCAAAGAAUGCAAUUGUAACAGAGGUUAAGAGAAUCCCAUUGGAUGGAUUGCGCAAAUAAAGGGGACAGUAAGUACUGAAAAUAGGAAUUUGUGAAAAGACUCUCCAAACACAUGCAGGUACCAUUCAGAUGUACACGCAAGACUGUUUGGCUAGUCUCAUACAGGGAUUUCAGCUUUGUCUACAUGGGAAAGUUAAAUUCAUUCAGCUAAAUUGAUAUGGCUUCCUUAAACCAAAAUAAGCAUCUUCCCAACAGGGCUGCAGAUUUCACUACACCAGUACAAUUCUCGUGCAGACAAGGCCUUUGGCCCAGGGUAGUCAAUAGGCGGACCGUGGGCCAAAUCCCAUCCACCACAUGCUUUUCAGCGGACUGUGUAGGCUGAACCCCCGGCAGGGUUGGGUGGCCGGCCUGGGCUGCGGGGCACAGUGUUCCCCUGGGUGGUUGCUUGCGCAGCCUCAGCCCCACUGGUAGCAGCGCAGGGAUGGAGCUUGGGGGGGGGGGGGCUGAGUGGCAACAUUUAGGAAGGGAUGUCUGCACCCCCAUGGGCAGCCUAAUGUCUCUCCACUAUGCCUUGCCCCUCCAAUCAGGAAGCAAUGGAGUGUAAUGUGCUCAUUCUGCAGCCCAAACAGAGGGCAGCGCUGUCUGGGCCCUAAUCCAAAUUCUUCUCUGCUCUUCCUGGAGAUGGCGGGGUUGGCUGAGCCAUGGAGCUGCAACUUAUGGGCCUCGGGCCCUGCCUGGCAACCCAGCUGGUAAGUGCCUGAAGGGAUCCUGCAGCAUCCACUUGUGCCGGGGCACCAAGCACAGCGCGCACACACACACACACACACCCACCCACCCCCCGGAGCCCUCCACCCCAGCCUUAUCUCUUCCCCACCCUGUCCUUCAGGGCCAGUCCCCAGAGCCUUCUCCAGUCCCCCUCGCCCCCAACCAGCCUCUUUCCCUUCCCAGUCUGCCUCCAGUCACCAACUACUGCCACUUCCUGGCCUCCCAACCCCUCCCCAGGUCUGCUCUCUGGAGUUUCCUUGGUCCCUCCCACUUCCUGCCCCUCUGUUAUCCCAGCCUCCAAAGGGGCAUUUCACUGCUAGCUGGAUCAUAGUCCAAUAGCUUCACCUCCUGGCUUCAAGCUCAAAAUUCACACCUUGCUUUGCUGCCCAGAUCCCAGCCCAUACCCAUUCCUCUUCCACCUGCCCCCAUCUCUGCCACUUGGCUCAACUGGGGACACAGAGGAACGUUGGAAGGAGCAGGAGGAAGCAGCAAAACCAGGUGGCUCAGGCCAGCCCCAUGUAUCCUGUUUUCAGUUUAGGGAAAUAAAGAUCACUCUGCGCCCCGGGCAAGGAGCUGGUGGCAAUCAGGGGUGAGGGGAGGGGACCUGGGUACGGGUCUGGACCUCGACUAUAUGUUAACCAAGAAAUUUGGACCGUGACAAAAAAUAAUCGAUUACCCUGCCCUAGGUGCUGUCCACAUGGGAACAAAACCACAGCAGCAACACAUCUGAAGCAGAGUCCUGCCAGAACCUUACAUGAUCACACUGUAGCUAGCUACAGCUGGUUUUCAGUACUGUUCUCACCAGCAUGCAGAGGUACUUGCUUUGCUGGGUAUCCUGCUAGCAGACACCCAAGUUGCAGACCGAGUCCCCUAUCAAGUUUCCAUCAUAGUUUAUUCACAUAUAAUUAUACAUUGCAUUGAGUGU